AAUUUUAUAACUCGAAUACUUAAUUGAGAACUUUUGAGCCAAAAACUCUUGAUCUUUUUAUAGAACAAUUUAAAAAUAUUUGGCAAGCAUGAUCACACACACACACACACACAUCGAACCUCAUCCUUAUCUUUUAUCUGUCUCAGCCAGGAGUUCUCCCUCCAAGCCGGUGCGUUUGCCUCUUGUGGUCGAUGAAAAUAGACGAGCCACUUAUUAUACCUCAGAUGAACAGCCUAAGAUUGAACGUGACUCGAUUUUCGAUGUUCUUGCUGGCGAGCCAAGGCAGCUGGUUGCUGUAUGCUAUCCAUACUGAAUCACCCAAUCCUCAAUAUUCUCAUUCCAAAUGUUUUUUAUGAUUAUCUUUCAUUUUAAUGUGCUCAUUCCAAAUAUUUUAUGCUCAUAGGUUGAACUACACCUGGAGUACUCAUAUGCGAGGAGUUUGGCUCGAUUUGCUGCUACUCUUGGUCCCAUUGCUUGGAAAAUUGCCUCUGAGCGUAUUGAGAAAGUACUACCUUCUGGGGUAAAGUUUGGGCCUGGAUGGGUUGGAGAAUAUGAGCCACUCCCAACUGCUAUUAUUUCUCUAGAAAAUCACUCCCAAGUUGCUAAAAAGACAAAAGAAAGCGAAAAUAGACCAAAAGCAGUUGCUAUUAGUGGUCUGUCUAGAAACAUAAAUGGGCCCAAGAGUCGAGCGAUCAGUAAAACCACAAACAGAGUGUCUAAUUCUAAGGAGGAGAGAAACAAUGAUGGGAAUACUGCAAAGCCGAAGCAGCGAUUAUUCAGUGUUAUUGCUGAGCCCCAAACAAGAAGCAAUGGGAUAAUGUUACAACCCAAGAAGGAACAGGAGUGCUUUACAUCUUCCUUGAGUAGUCCUGUUGAUACAGUUCUCCGAAGGCCUGAACAUCCGGAAGGUGCUGCUUCUAGGGUUUCUGAUACAGUACCAUUCCUUAAGGCAAAUGGUCAGCCUAAGCUGUACAUUAAUCAACCAGAUGGAGUAUCACCACACACUAGGAGUAGUCAUAUUGGAAUCAAUCUUGGAGGAUCGAGUGGUGGGAAGUUCUCGAGAAAAUCAGACACUAACCAGCCAAGUAAUGAUCUCGGAUUCAUUUCAAAGCAUCCUCAACGAAUGGCAGUAGGUAAUUUCCUUUCUCAUAGUAGUCAACAGCAUCAUGAUAAGGGCCCUGCAAAAUUAGUGGGUUUCUCGGGCCCGAAGUUUAGCCAGCCAGGCAAUUCAAAAAGUUUCAUCAAUACUUCAGAAAAACUCAAUUCCUCUCUUCGAUCAACUGUUAGAGAGAAUCACCAGUGGAUGUCUGCUGUAUCUCCCUCGGGGAUUAGACCAUCCGCCGAUAGUCUAAGUUUUCUCAAUAGCCAAGUCAGACCCACUUUCUAUAGUAAUCCCGCUGCAAGAAAUGUGGUUCAAUUCAUGAAGCAGCCAGUCCAAGGGGUCAGCGAAGAGCCUCAUGUUCAUAACAGGGGUUUGGUUAUAUUUCCUCAGCUAAUUCCAACGGAAAUACCAAGAUCUAAUGGUUGUUCUCAAGAGAAGAAAAAUAAGGAUACACUUCCCCCAGAUUUGAACAUCAGUUUCCCAAUCCAAGGGUCUCCAGUACGACAAUCUUCAGGUAUUCAUUUAGAUGCUCAGCAACCGGACUUAGCUUUGCAGUUGUGAGUUCUAGAAAGCGAAGGAGAUAGAACCAAUUACAUAUUUUCACUAGCAAGUUAGGAAGAAUGUGCAAAUUAUUUAUGCGUAGUAGACCCCAGUAGAGCGAGAAAGACGGUGCAGGCAAAUUCGUAUAUCAAAGGACUGGAAGAGUAAUCUGCAGAAUAUAUCUGCAGAAUGUCAAAUUGAAUAUAUGUAGCUGUGAGAAUAUGAGGAAGGACUCGAUCUAUCGGCGAUCGUGGUUUGUUUAUAAGCUGAUUUUGGUAGGUGGUAGCGCAUGUUUGGAUCACGAAAGGCGAAUUCUCAAAUGAGUUAAGAACUGGGUCUGUUUUGUAUUUUUGAUGGGAUCCUUUGUAAAUCAGAUUAGUAUGGCAGGUCUAUGCUUUUUGUAACUUGAAAUACCUCUUGUAGGGGCCAAUGUACGAAUGCCCAUACCACCUUUGUAUUCUGGUUAUAAAAUGGAUUAAGUAGAUUAGAUUAGAGCAGCUCUUCUUCUUUCUGAAAGGAUUGCUUUUGUUGAAUCUUUUGAGACUCUGCGAUUUCCUUCGAUUAGUCGGAUGAGCAAAAGAAUCUUUUUCAAGGAAUCAAUAUUCCUUGCUUAGUAUAUGUGGUUAAUCAGAUUGCUUCUUUAGGCUUGUUGGAGCUUUAAUUAAUCAUUGAAUUUUGCUGAUUCGGUAUGUGAUAUUAUGGGAUGGAAAUGGAUUAGAAUGUCGUUUUUAUGAUUGAAUAAUUUUCUUUUUCUUUUUUUUUUUUUUUUCUCUGCGGCGUUCUGAGAAAUCAUUUUGGGAACGAAUUAUAUGAUCAGAAAACUUUGAAAGAGGGUGGUAUCGACACUUAGUAUUAGUGGAGUUGCGUACAAUAACAGUUACCAUGCGAGUAUUGAGGCAUUAUUCCCACUUUCUCUGUUCACUUCCCCCUCCCCCCCCUUUGUGUUCUCUUUUCUUCAGAAAAGUCUCUUUACCUUUGGUAAAUUCAACUCUUUUUUUUAACCCUUUUUCUUUUGACCAAAACAGAAAAACUAACUCAAUCUAUCCACCAUUAAUUUAGCAUAAAUGAUUUACACUAAGUGGAUAAAUCAUAAGCAACUAAUACAGUAUUAAAUUUUUUUUGGGUAAACUUCAAAUACCGCCCUUAUGGCUUCGCACUUUCUCACUUUAGUACCCUAUGGUUUAAAGUGUAUCAAUUUAGUACCCUGCGAUUUUAUUUUUCUCUUUUCGUCAGCUCAUCCGUUAACAUUUUAUUAAAUUAUAUAUAAAAAAAUUUUAGAUACCCCACCUAGAUUUAUCAAAUAUUCACUUUAGUACCUUUUAAUUUUAACUUUAUUACUGAUUUAACGAAAAAAAUUAGUGGAUAGGAUAAUAAAAAGAGAAAAAUAAAAUCAUAGAAUACUAAAUUGAUAUACUUUAAAUCAUAGGGUUCUAAAAUAAAAAAAGUGCGAAAUCGUAUGGGUGGUAUUUAAAGUUUUUUUAAUUUUUUUAAAAACAUAACUAAGAAUUUCUGAUUUAUGAUUUCUCCCACUUGUAUAGAAAUUUGAAAUAGAAGUUACUUAUACAGGUGUCUCAAUUUGAGUGUUUUAUUAAGAAAAUCGUUCCGAGUCUCCAAAAAUGACCUCCAAUGAGUCGCUAAUAUUCUAACAAUGAAAUUUGUGCUUCAUUAUAAUCUGCGUAUAUAAAUUAAUCAAAAUUCUCAAUAAGAUUUGUACCAUUAUAUCAAUGCCUAAGUAGAGCAUUUUGGGACUCUUAGCUAGCUGUUCUAUUUUGGAUAAAUUUAAUAAGUAUAUCAAUAUCUAUUAAUAAAUUAAAUUGUACUGUACAAGCUAUAUUGUGAGUGUUAAAGCCACCUUCAAGGAUAUUCUAUGCAUGCACAAAAAAUAGGUGAAAAUCUUAUGUCCUCUCUAACGAAAGAUUUAUUUUUUCACACUAGUCUUAUGACACUCUUAUUUCUGUAAUACUAAAAUAUCAGAACAUUUUUUUUUUUUUUCUGAGAGAAAAGUAGUUUAUUUUUUAGAAAUGAACUAAUUAAGCUAAAAAUGUGAAGCAACUAAAUUUCGAACUUGGGAUCUCGGUAUUAAUCAGCAAGCUCGUAGUCAACUGCGGUAGGUACGAUAUGUAAGCCCUUUGAAGGAUUGUUUAAAUAUUUGGAUGAAUUCAGUGUAAAAUUUGUGCUAAACUUUUGAGUGUACAACUAGUAUUAAUUUCUUUAUAAUUUAUUACAGAGAAGCUGCAACAGCUGUCUACUGUAUGAGAGAUUUCUUCCAUCUUGUUCAUUUCUUCACUCUCUUUAUUGAAGAUAUAUAUAUAUAUAGAGAGAGAGAGAGAGAGAGAGAGAGAGAGAGAGAGAGAGUCCAAGCAUGCAGUGUCAACUCUUCAUGAGCAAGCAAGUGUAAAAGCAGUGCUUUUGUGCAUCAAAUAUAUGGCGGGAAACAAGGGGGAAAGCAAGCAAAGCACGUAUUCUGCAUGGGGGUGGUGAUCUUUGGUCAUGCAAUCCAAGUGCACCUUACUCUUUCACUGGUAAAUCAAAGAGAGAGCAAAAAAAGGAAAAAUCUUAAUAAUGAAAAAUAAUAUACUCGUAAUUUUAAUAUGCACGUCCAAAGUUCGAAUCCUGAUUACUUCACAUUUCUAGUUGAGCUGUAAAAUAUGUAAGCCAAAUCUGUUUCGACUAUAAUAGGUUCAGAUGGUGGUUGGAACUGAUCCUAGCUAUCAUGAUCUGUGAAUUUUUUAUGCCUUUCUAAAUUAAUUGGCCUUUUAUUAACAAACAAGUAAAAUAGUCACAUACGUAACAUUGAUUAAUUCUUAAGAAGUGAAUACUCUAGUUCUGCACAACAUUUGAAGUAAUUUCUCUACUUAGUAUCCGGAAUGAAAGUUAUAAAGCUUUCUUAAAACUAGGGUUCUUAUUAAAAAAAAAAAAACUUUAAUUUCAUCUUUCAUCUAAUAAUCCUUUCUCACAUAUUAUAGUAUCAAUAUGAAUAGAAAAGCAUCAGGACAUAUAAUGACAUAUAUUUCUCAUUUAUUUAUGUAUAUAUUUAUAGAUUGCCAUGAUUAAUUAGGAGGCAAAAAUACAUCCAUAUUUAUAACAUUAUUUGAUGUGAUAUUACCACUUCUAUAUUAUAAUAAUUAAGAACCACUUCUAACUAAGAAGGAUAAGAUAAUCCAAAUCAUGUCCUUAACUAUAAUCAUUUUGAUAGAAAUAAUACAAUAGUCAUUAAACUAAAGUAGAAGCGAUCUACUAAGUUAUAAAACUUUUGACCAUGUUAAUUACUACUAAAGAAUAUUAUUGGUUCAUUAAACUAUUGUAGGAAUAAAUAUUAAAUAAACCCUUUUUGUAUCCAACAAAAACAGCUUCUAACAUUUUAUUUUUCCUUCUAGUGGAUAAAAAACAAAUCUGAUCACCAAACAAUUACUAAAUAAAAGUUAAAAAACAAGGGUAUCAACUUGUGGAACAUAUAUAAUAGCUUCAACAAGAAACAAUGUGUGUAAUUAACACAACCAUAAAUGGAAACAAAUUAAUUUUAACAUCCAAAAAAAAAAAAUUUGUUUUACACAAGAAAGAAUGUGUGUAAUUAACACAAGAAAAAAUUGUGUUAAUAACUAGUUAAGAAGUAGUUAACAAGAAACAAUGUGUGUUAAUUACACACAUUAUUAACACCAGAAACAAUGUGUGUAAUUAACACAACCAUAAAUGGAAACAAUUUUUUUUUUUUUUGGAUGUUAAAAUAACUACUUCUUAACUAGUUAUUAAACAGAAUAUUAAUUGUAGAGAACUAAUUAAAACAUUUAAUGUCAUAAAUGCUAAGACACACAAAUAAGUUCUCCAUUGUUCUCUCACUCUAUACACAUACAAACACAAGAAAAAAAAAAAAUUGUUUCCUCAGGACAUUCCGGGCAUAUUGUUCCAGGGGCAAGCUCCUAUGUUCCAAUCCUCCUCAGUGAUCAAGGGACACUGCUCCAGCUGCAUUGCGAGCCCGAGUUCGUUGUCGGUCGUCACCGUUGAGGGCGUGGGGAUCGUGUUGAGAAUUUGGUUCGCGUCGAUGCUCUCGGUCGCGCAUUGUGGUUCACUCUUCAUGUUGAUCCCUGCCGAAAAUAAAUCAAAAUUCGUAGAAAUUUUGGUUAAAAACUUAAGUCUGAAGUUUCAGUAUUAGUGUAAAAAUUGUCCCUGAAAUUUAUCUUUACACGUCAAAAUAUAAAACUUUGACCAUUAAAUAAAAAUCUGAAACUAUAAACCAAAUCUGAGCUAAAUCAAAGUUAGGACUAAAAUAUCAUUAGAAUUAACAUAAUUCAAUUAUGAGAGAUGAUAAUAAGAAUCAAUUUCUCAAAAGGAAAAAAAAAAAUGCACGAAAGGUGUUCGAUAAAACUCACCAGCGGAGCCGUCGAAGGCGUGGCCGUGCUGAUGAGGCGAAAUGUAGCUACAUUGAUCUACAUUGCAUGCCUCCGCUACGAGUAGCUCUCCGUCUCCGCGUAGCUCCUCCACCAUCGCGUCGACCAUGAAAGCAUCCGCCGUCGCCGCCGCCGCCGCGGUGAGUGCUUCCCCGGGAACUACCAGUUGGUUUGAAGGGAGCUCGUGAUUCCCCGCGAGGAGCGGCGGCGGUAAAAGAGGCAAGAGCGGGGCCGUGGACGUCGACGGCGAGGCGGGGGUCGAGAGGGGAAACGCGAACUGGCUGAGCGGAGGAACGAGGAGCGGGACGCCGUUGCCAUUGUUGGUGAGGAUCGGCGAGGCGGGGGCGGACGUGGAGAAUGCGAAGAGCAGCGGCCGCUCCACCAUCAGCGGCGACGGCGGAACGGUGCGCCGCUGCCUCCCCAACUGCAGGGGCGUGGUCGGGGACGGCGGCGGGCUGGAGAAGAAGAACGAUUGCAUGUCCGGAGGGUACAGCGGCAGCCCGGCGCGGCGGUGGCGCUUCACCCGCGUGUUCCAGUAAUUCUUGAUCUCGUUGUCCGUCCUCCCGGGGAGCUGCAUGCACAAAAAUACGCGCGCGUAAAGUCGAAAUGUAAAACUAUUUGGCACAAUGCAGAUUGGUAUGAUCCGAUUCGAUCGGAUAAGAUAAAAUGUAGUGUGUAUCGGGUACGUACCUGGGAGGCCAUGAGGGCCCACUUGUUGCCGAGCUGGGCGUGGAGGCGCGCGAUGACGAGCUCCUCCUGGGGGGUGAAGGAGCCCUUCUUGAGGUCGGGGCGGAGGUGGUUCAUCCACCGGAGGCGGCAGCUCUUGCCGCAGCGCAGCAGGCCCGUGUUCCGCCGCACCGCGUUCCAGUUGCCCUCCCCGUGCCGCCGCACGUACUCCGUCAGGAUCUCGUCCUCCGCCGCCGUCCACGGCCCCUUCUUCAACUCCCCCGCACCCGCACCCGCACCCGCCAUCCCCUUGGGACUCUCGCCCUGCAUCAUCUUCCUGGGGAUUUGUGCAAAAAGUUAAAAAAAAAACACAAAAGAGGGAGGGAAAAAAAAAGAAAAGAAAAAGUUUUCAGUACGAGGAUAGAUGAUGAUUAGAGAAAGUGGAAAGAGAAUCGAAGGAAAUGAUGAAGAGAAGAACUGCGCACACGCAGAUGAAAGAGACGCGUAGAGAGAGAGAGAGAGAGAGAGAGAGAGAGAGAGAGGGGGAGAGGUAUGAAAUUGAAGGAAGAGGAGGAAAACGAGAAGAAGCCCUAGAAAGGAGAUAAUGACAUACUUGUCCCAGUUGAUAUCGGUUUGGUCCAAGGAGGGAACUUUGGGACGCGGCACCUCCCGCGACUCCAUCAUCCCUAUGAAUCCCACAAGCGUCGUGUCGACUAUCGAGAGAGAGAGAGAGAGAGAUGAGGAUACAAGGGGCGGGGGGUGAACGCCGACUCUUCUUCGUCCUUCCUCCCCCUCGCUCCUCGUCGUCGUCGUCGUCGCCGAAGACGGGUUCGUUCGCCUUUGACUUGGCUUGAGCCCGAAGAAAUGGAGUUCUAGCAAGCUAANUAUAUAUAUAUAUAUAUAUAUAUAUAUAUAUAUAUAUAUAUAUAAUAUUAUAGGAUUAAAUUAGAGUAUUUCUAGAAAAUAAAAUCAAAUUUUUUACUUUCUAACUAUCGACAUCUUUGAACGCGAUUUAAAAUAUCCGAACUACUUAAUUACUAAAUAAUUAAUAUUAAAUUUUUUUAAAAUCUAGUAACUAAAAUAAGACAUAAAAGUUAAUGAUCGAGUGAUUUAAUUCUAUACAGAGAGCGUGCAAAGGCCUUGAAAUUAAUAGUGAAAUUUUGGCUGACAUGGCAGACCGGGUCCAUGCAGUAGGAAUGGAAACAUGGUGGGACACACCACAAGACAGUGGGGCCCACCUCCCCCGGAGUUUGAUUGGCUCACCCCGACUUUGUGCAAUCACUCUUUGGCUUUCAGUUCUGGGAAGAGGGUCAUAGACUCGGGAUGUCUAAAAGAAGAGUGUGAAUAUCAAUAAAAUUUCAAAUAAAAAAUUUAAGUAGAAGUGAAAGAUAUUAUUGGGAAAGAUUUGGGGUCUGCCGAGUAUAUAGGUGCCGCAAAAAGCGCAGCCCCAUACAUAUUAUUUGGCCGCAUAACUCUGCACUGUAAUGUAACGCGUACCCACACUUUUACCCGCCUCUUUUUGCGCAAAAAAUUAUUUGAACUAUUAACUCAUUUUAAAGUAAGCAUCUAAUCUUUAAAAGUUUUAGUUCUAUCAUCUAACAUUUUAUUUCAUUAGAUUUUAAUUUUAUGAUAAGGUUUUUGUUACGAAUUAAAAUACCUUACUUGUUUUCACUACAUAAUAGUCACAUAAAUAUAUCGUAUGAAAUAUUCUAAUUUAAUUCAAUAAGAUAAAAUAAACGACGUUCCCGAAAAUCUUUUAUCAAAAUAGUUGUCGGAUAAUUCAAAUCAAAUGAAUUAGAAGUUUUAAUAAAAGUAAAAAACUUUUUAUGACUUUUUUUACAAUUGCACUAACAUGACAAGUUUCAAUUGCUGUAAUAUUUGAUGAUGUUUUUUUUUUUUUUUUUUUGAGAGAGAUAGGUAGCACGCUACCCGCUUCGUUUAUUUUAUUUAGAAAUAAACUUAGCUGAAAAUGUGAAUAAACUAGGAUUCGAAUUUGGGUCUCGGGUACCAGCCACCAAGUCCUUUGCCACUUGUUCUAGGAACGGUCGGUAAUAUUUGAUGAUGUUGAUGACCGCUAUUAUAGAAGAAGAAGCUUAUAGGGUGCAACCAAUCCCUAAUUACACAAACUUGUGUAAAGAUUCACAAAUGGAUAGUGUUUUUUUUACGUGGCUUCAGUUUCUCGGAUCUUAUCUGCAAUAUAAUGUGGCUUUCUCUAAUCAACGACCGCUUCAAUCUUCUUUCUUUUCUUUUCUUUUCUUUUUUUUUUGUCGUCAUUCGAGUAAAUUGCAGAUGUCGUAGUAUGAUUGGUUUGGAGAUUUGGCAAUUUUUAUUGAUGAGGUAGUAAAAAGAAUGAAAGAGGGAAAUAUCCUGUGCUUUGUAUAAGUUUAUAAUAGUAAGAAUUAGUUUACUUUCCUGUUAAGAAGAGGAUACAUAUUUUGUUAGAUUUCACAUAGGUGUAUGCAUAUGAACAUCUAAUUUCACUACUCUUUGUUACUUUCCUUUUAGCACCUGUUUUUUUGGUCAAUUAUGCAUAUAAACAUCUUCCCCCAUGUACUAUUCUCUCCCAUCUCAUUUUAAACUGCCUUAUCACCAGCAAUAUAUAUAUAUAUAUAUAUAUAUAUAUAUAUAUAUAUAUAUAUAUAUAUAUAUAUAUAUAUAUAUAUUUAUGUAUAAAACGUGCAAAUUAAUUCAAUUGCUUGAGAAAGCGGAUAGGAAUCUUAUUGACCCUAAUCUAAGUAAUUAUCCACUCUACUUACUGUACGGAAAAUUUAUCAAUUUUAAUAGAGUGAGGAAAAGUAAAAAAAUAUGGUAGGUAAAAAUAUGCACAAAGACCACUCACCUAUAAAAAUUUUGGAAGCAACAUAAAAUUGGUAAAAAUAAUUUUGGUAUAAGAUCAUCCUAUCCGUACGUAGUGGGUGUUUGGCCUACAUUUUGAGCAGCAAUUUUCGGACAAAAACUGAUUUUAUCUUCAAUAGAGCGUUUAGCAAUCUCAUUUUCGAAAUAUGGUUCUGAAUUUUGAAAUCAAUUUUUUUAAUUUUCGAGAUCCAAAAUCAAACGCAGUUAAAACCUACUUCUUAAAAUCUGANUUUCAAUUUCUGACUCGAACCUUCUGAAUUAUUGCGCUUAAGUUUUACAAGCUAAUUUAGUUAAUUAAAUAUUGACGAGUGGCUAAUAUGAAAAUGGAAUAGCAAUGUUGUGAUUGAUACACGAUAAUAAUUAAAAUGUCAUAUUAUUUCAUAUCAGCAACACGUCAAAUUUUAGUCAACUAAUUAUAGAACUUAACUAUAAUAAUUUAUAAAAUUCAGAUCAUAAUUAUAACAAAUAAAAGUGUAAUUUAGCCUUAACUUGAUGAACCAUGGACCUGCAUUUAAGAUCCACUAGCUACUUUGUUAUCAGACAUAAACGUUGAGCACAUCCCAGUUUCGGGCAGGGCUUUAUAAUUACGGUCCGGUCCGGAAAAAAAUUGGUGAAAUUCGAGUCCAAUUCCAGCCUAGGAGAAAAAAAAAAUUGCUAACUAAGAAUAUAUUCUAUAUCCCAAAUGUGGGAAAAAAGUUAAGGAUUAAUUACAUACAGCGCCCUAUAAAUAUAUCAAAUUAUAAAUAUAUUCCUACAAAAUUAAGAAAUAUAUUUAUAAUUUGCUAUAUUAAAAAGUUGAAAACAAAAAAAAAAGGCUAAAUUACAGAAAACCCCCCUGUAAUAACCCGCUUUUUCACUUUCCCCCCCUGACAUUUAAAAACCUACACUUUGCCCCCCUGUAAAAUGAAAAAUGUUCACAGGGGGGUUACGGUGUGUAAAAUGACCAUUUUGCCCCUCGCCAUUGUCGUCUUCUUCCCCAUCUUCCUCAGCCGCCCCUUCGUUCGGCCGCGAUUUCGACCUCAAUCGGCCGCGAUUUCUCUCCAUUUCCUUCUCCACCUGCUCAUCUUCUCCUCCUGCACCCUCGUCGCCCUCGAUUUCGGCGACAGUAGGAGAAAAUCGAGGUAGGCGACAGUAGGAGAAGGGCAAAAAAGGCGAAGACGAGGCGGCGGAGGACGGCAAAGAGGAUGUGGGUGAGGGUGAGGCAGUGGAGGACGGCGAGGCGGCUAGGCGGCGAGGCGGCGAGGCGGCGGCGAGGUGGCGAGCCGGAGGGAGUCGAAGCAACAGGGAGAUGGCGGAGGGGUAUUUUCGGCAUAAAAAUAUAUUUUUUAACGGAACCCUAACGGUAGGGGGUGAAGUGCACAUUUUUUAUUUUACAAGGAGGCAAAGUGUAGAUUUUUAAAUGUCAGGAAAGAAAAGUGAAAAAACGGAUUAUUACAAGGGAAUUUUAUGUAAUUUAGCCAAAAAAAAAAAAAAAAUGUUAAGAUUUGGGAAGAAUCAAAAGUCACCACCCACCCAAGUGUCGUUUUAUAAAAAACUCCCCUGCAGAUAUACUACUGAAUCCAAAGAUCCAAACCAGGUGGGUAGUUGAACUGAUUGACGUGAAGUUAUCGCGUGGACUCGGUUCACCAGGUCAAGCAGGGACCUGCUACUUGAACGGAUCGAGUGCCGAGUUCUUAACCAGGUAGUGGACGGUCUACAGAUUACGUGGCGCACCGGGUUCACGUAAUAGUUACUUGUCGAAAUUAAAGUGGGUGUUCGCUCCGGUGUUCCUAUCUCGGGUCCUCCGCUUCUCUCUCUCUCUCUCUCUCUCUCUCUCUUCUCCAAAUCUCUCCCCCUCUUUUCCGUUCGUUUUUACCAACCAAGGAAGUAGUCCAAAGCCGCCAUUUUUAUAUCUUCCUUUUCCACGGAUUUCACCUCCCCCACUCGAAACCUACGUGCUCCCGACGAUCUCCCCCGCCUCACCUACCUCCUCCUCCUCCUUCCCCCACCCCUCGAAACCCUAAUGGAGGAAUCGGGCUCCGUUUGAGCAGGGGGAACAAGGCCAUGGCUCUUAAGGCCGUGGCGAGCUGGGUCGGGGGGAUCCGCCAUGUGGGUCGCGGCGAUUUGGAGCGGCGGCGGAGCGCGGCGCCGAAUUGGAGGUGCGUGGCGGCGGGGAGGAGGGGUGGUGGCGGCGGCGGCGGCGGAGCGGAGGGUUUUGGUUCGGGGGUGUGGGUGGAGUCGGUGGGGGACGAGAACCUGUUGCCCUCUUCGUCCGUGGAGGUGGAGCGAAGGCUCGGGGGCGGCGACGCCGUGGACAAGCCCAGGGUUGGGAGCAGGGAUUUGAGCUCGUUACCAAGUUAGUCCCUUUGUUUUUCCCUCCGCCCAAUUUAAUUUGGUUGUAAUUUCGUAAGUUUAUCUCGUUUACCGCAUUUUGGAGGAGGCAUCUCUGUGGAUGUGAUUUUAUGCUUAAAUUUACUAUUUGUUUGUCGCAUAAUUUACUUGUUUGCUUAUCGUAGAAUGCGGAUCAAUUCGCCAUUUAUGAAUAUUAGGAUGCUAAUUAGUAACUGAUUCUUCAGUAAAGAUAUAUUUAGUUGGGAAAGUUUUGGGCUUGGAAUGCGAAUUGCGACAUUUUGACUCUCGGAGUUGGAGUCGUCUAAUUCGAAGGUGAAAUGGUAAUCAUUUUCACCUCCUAUUCUUGUUGGGAACCAACCAAACUAAUGGAGUUAGUCAUUCUAAGUAAGAUUCCAAAUUUCCAAUCCAAUUGCAAACGAAACAUCCCUCCUUUCUCCGAUUAUAUUUAAUAUAUGUCUGUGUGUGCAAGCAUUCUAUUACAUUUUCUAUUGAUCCGUAUAGCAAAUCCAUGAAAUUUAUGGUGAAAGUAUUGCUACUUACGAGAAUAGAUAUCAAUGAUAGCCAUAUGUCCUUUCAUAGUUGCGACAGUGAAACUUUCUUUAUGCGCAGAGCCACUAUCUUUAACUGAUCUUUCAGUUUCCAGCCAUGGAUCUGAUGUCCGAGUAGCAUAUCAGGUAUUCGAUGCAGUUUUUUUUUUUUCAUUCUGUCUAUAGAUUGUCGUAGUUUUUUCUAUUUACAUCAAUUCAUUCAUUACCAUUGUUUUGUUUUCUGGUUUAAUCCUUAAAUUGCAGGGUUCACCAGGAGCAUUUAGUGAGGCCGCAGCUCUUAAAGCUUACCCGCAAUGUGUAGCGGUUCCGUGUGAACAGUUUGAAGUCGCAUUCAAGGUUUAAAAUUCUGACCACUGUAGAGUAAUUAUUUAUUAGUUGACAAAUACUGCCAUCUUUUGAAGUAUAUUUUCUAUUUUUGUAGGCUGUUGAACUUUGGCUUGUUGAUAAAGCUGUUCUCCCGAUAGAGAAUUCAAUAAUUGGAAGCAUACAUAGGAAUUACGACUUGCUCCUCUGCCAUAAAUUACACAUUGUUGGCGAGGUACAAUUGGCUGUUGACCUCUGCCUUAUGGCCCUACCAGGUGUGAGGAGAGAGCAGCUAGUGCGCGUCUUAAGCCAUCCACAGGUUAUCUUCAUUUAGUUUACAAUUAGAAGGGGCUUUUACAUGUCUAUCCCUUCAAUCAUUUAUUACAUGUAUAACUAUGUAAAAGUAGAAAUUUCAUACAUAUGCCUCGAAAGUGCACCCUUUUUUUUUCGCUUUACCAAAAACACUCGCGUUGGGUAGUCAUUUGAUACACUAGGGGAAGUUGGUUAUAUACUUGGAAAAUUAUAAUCGUGGAUGGGUGUUUUGAUUGGUAGCAUAUUUGAAAAUUCUGAUAUUACAGGUAUAUACAUGUAAAAUUAAUAAGUUUGCAGGGAUAAAGGGCUAUAUGCGAUUAUUCUUUCUUUGUCAAAUCCAUUCUUAUUUACAGGCAUUUGCUCAAUGUGAAAAUGCAAUAACCAAGUUACGAGUCAUUAGAGAAAGUUACGAUGAUACUGCAGGUGCUGCUGAGGUAGCUCAUGAAAACUCUACAAGUUUAUUUGAUUUCCUUCUAUAAAUAUUGAUCACUACAUGUUAUGAGAAUUCUUUUCUAGUUGGUAGCCUCAAAAGGUCUGAGAGACGCCGGAGCAAUUGCAAGUGCCAGAGCCGCAGAGCUAUAUGGGCUUAACAUACUUGAAAAUAAAAUGCAGGCAAUAAAUCAUAUCUUUUUGCUUUUAUAUUUCUGUUUCAUUAGCAUAUGUCCUAGUGUUUUAGUCAUGAAAAUGGAUCCUGGUUCUUCUUCCUGUAUAUGGUCAAAGGGGUUCUAGAUUAAAUUACUAAGUUUUCUUUUCCAGUUACUCUGCAUUUUCAAUUUACAUGCAUUUCUCUUCAGCUCAUAUGCUACUAUAAUGAUUUAUGAAUUGCAUAACAAUAAUGGCAGGAUAUGUCGAGUAAUAUCACACGCUUCCUUAUACUGGCUAGGGAGCCUAUACUUCCGAGAAUGGAUAGGCCCUUCAAGGUAUUAAUUAAUAUUUGCAUCUGUUUUCCUCAAAAUACAAUUUUGCUCUAUAGAUAAAGGUGAAGGCAAAGUAUGCACUGAUAAUUCCAGACAAGCAUUGUUUUCACUCUUGAAGAGGGUCCUGGCGUGCUUUUCAAAGCCUUGGCGGUCUUUGCUCUUAGGAGUAUUAAUUUGACAAAGGUGUGUUACCGUCGAACUUGAUAUUACUUAUUUUUAGCUUUUCUCAAGUUAGUUUCUUAACUGAUUUAGUGAUAUUUCCAUUUUGGAGUUAAGAUCGAAAGCAGGCCACGAAGAAAUGGCCCCUUGAGGCUGGUCGAUGACUCAAACCAUGGGACCGCCAAGUAAGCAAUUAUACAUUUUCUUGAUUGAAUUUGUUGUGAUUGCUAAAUACCUAUUUAACUCUUAAGAAGAAAAGCAACACUGAUUCUCUAACUUUGUUGAACAAAUUCUUCUGUAGUCUGAUUUAUAGCUCUUGGCUUUAGGUACUUUGAUUAUCUUUUCUACAUUGAUUUUGAAGCAUCUAUGGCCGAACCUCGUGCCCAAAAUGCGUUGGCCCAUUUACAGGUCAGAGUUCCAUUCUUUGUGGUUGGUUAGUUAUUUAUUGCGGGCUUAGAAAUAAUUGGAGUUAAUAUUGGAUGCAAUCUGAUUUGCUUGAAUUUCCAUCUUCUUGAAAACUUAAUACAGUGACUGCUUAUUGAGGCGGUAGUUCAUGACUAAACCACGGGAACUUAUCCCUAGCUACCCAAGAAUGAUUACAUUAGAAGAAGAUAUUUUUGUAUAUUUCGCAACUUAAAAGUUAAGAACCCUCUUAAAUAUAUAUAUAUAUAUAUAUAUAUAUAUAUUGUAAUUUUCACUCAAACCCCUCUUAAUUGUACACUGUAAAUUCUACUAAAACUCUUUUAGGUUCAACUGUUAACCAGAAAACAUUUGUUUCAGUGAACGUUGUGAAAUCGCUGCUUACAUCCAUGUUAUCAGAGUCUUUUCUUCGAGUAUAUGCAUGCGUUCUUAACAUAUAUAUUUAUAUAUUUCCUUUUCAAACUGCUCUUCGGAGGAUGACAGUUAGCAUGCUAAUGUUGGAACUUUAUUUUAUGUAAAUAUGAAAUUACCGUAAAUGUGCAGGAAUUUGCUACACUUCUGCGGGUCCUCGGCUCCUAUCCAAUGGACACAUCUUUGUAAAUGGCCUCCUUGGAGUUGUUACACCACUAUCCCGAGGCCAAAGUUGGAGAAGAUUUGAUGGUCUUAUCUUCGGAUUGUUUAACAAAGGAAAAUUCCCCCAUGUCCAUAAGCUCCGCGCUUCUGCGCGACAUUCUCUCCUGCCAAUCUCUUCAGGAUCAGCGAAGCUUUCGACAGCGUAUAAUGGCACAGAAGUAGUCUCUGAAACUUGCUCUUAAUCUCUUUUAGCUUUAUAAAAAUCUUUGGUGCUAGUAAGUUCUCCUAGGGAGAUCUGCGAGGAAUUCGAAAGUUCCUGCACCAUUUUUUAUUUUUUUAUUUUUUUUUAUUUAGUUUUAGUAAUUGUGUGAGAGGAAGUAAAAAGUUUUAGCAUCAUCUUUGGCUCUUUUUUUUUUUUGUUUGACUCAGCCCAAGGGACUAUUAAUUGAAAUAUUGACUGAGUUCUGAUAUUUGUAUCUUCAAUAAAAGAGAUUUUUUUUUUUUUUUUUUUUUUUUUUUUUUUUUUUUUUUUUAUUUUUUAAAGGGCGCUAAGUUGGGAGGAUAAAUGUGGAAUUUAAAAGAAAUUGUAAACAUGCUUAAUGAAUGUACAGUAUCUUAUUUAUAAGAAAGUAUGAAAACCCAAAUCGACAAAUGGAGAAUUGAAGCUUAGUCCACAUUUUAUUUUAUGCACGGAAUAACCUUAUUUCACUUCUAAUAAAGAGUAGGCUUAAUGUAUUCUUAUGAGUAUAGAGUUUUUUAUACGUAUAAGUUAUUUUUAAUGGUAGAGCUUUCGAAUUGAUGAUGAACAUCAGUUAAAUAUGAUUUAAAGCAUUUGAAAUUUAUAAAAAUAAAUUUUUUAAUUUUUUAAAAUUAUAGUAAAGUUCAUUAAGCUAAUAUUAAAAUGAACAGUCAAAAUUGAACGACAUGUUAAAAAUAGAUGGGCGGAAAUUUCAAUUUAAGAUCAGAGUUAUUAAUCUAAAUAGUGAAUAAAACUUUUAUAAAAAAUUUAACUAAUUUCGAUUCUUUUACACCAUUAAAUUAGCAAGUAUUUUAUACCGACUGUUAAAAGUUAUUAAUUUUGAGAUCUUUUCAUUGUAAGAUAAAUAAUGUUGAAAAAUUACGAAAUUCAAUUUUUAAAAAUUUCAAAUGCUUUAAAUUAUAUUUAACGGUAUAGAUCGCUGAUUCGAAAGUUCUAUCAUCGAAAACGAGUUAUGAGUAUGAAGUGAUCGUGCUCAUAAGAAUAUAGUAACCUAACACUUUAGCGCAUAUAUAUUUGGAUUGUUUUACACCGUUAAAUUCAUAAACACGGCACAUCGGCCAUUAAAAUCAUCAAUUUUGAGAUCUUUUGAUUACUAGUCAAAUGAUGUCGAAAAAUUAUAAAAUUUAGUUUUCAAAUACUUUUAAUAGUGUAGAUCAAGUCUAACGGAGCCGAUCGUAAAUUUGGAAGCCGCAUAAUUGAAAACAACUUGGUAGCACGGGAGGCCCCGUGCUAUCGAUAGUAUAGCAGCUGNAUAGCAGCUGGACUAUAUAUAUAUAUAUAUAUAUAUAUAUAUAUAAAGUCUAACAGAGCCGAUCGUCGAUUUGGAAGCCGCAUCAUCGAAAACAACUUGGUAGCACGGGAGGCCCGUGCUACCGAUAGCAUAGUAGCCUGACUAUAUAUAUAUAUAUAUAUAUAUCCAUGCAAUAAUCUUGAAUUUUUUUAGCUUUUAUAGUUGUUGAUUACGAUAAUGAUGGCUAAGUAAUCUGGUAGGAUUCAUAUUCCACCUCUCUUCUUUUUUUUUUCUUUAUUUCAUCACCUUUUUCCUCAGGAAAUCAGAUUCCAAUUUCAUCCAACUAGAGACUAGAGAUAGCAGGUCACACCAUAUGCAACAUUUUGGGUCCACUUGAAUGCCUUAUGAAGUGCAUGUGAGAAUUUCUCCUUUUUGAUGGUAACACUGGAGCUUGAUUUUAAUCCACUCCUUGGUUUCUCAUUCUUAUUAUUAUAAUUUUAAGACAAUAGCACCAAACUAGCUUAUAGCAAUGUUUGGCAGGGACUCAUAGAAGAAGCACUAUAUCAAAAUUCAUAUACAAGCAUCUUUUCUGGAGUUGAUGCGAGAACUUCAAUAUAUAGUCAUUUUAAUUUUCUAUAGAGAAAAGAGGAAAUUGAGAUUUCAAUCCUCUACCGAGGAGAUAAAAGUCAUGAAUACGAGAAAGUUGUCGGUGUCCGUGUCAGUAUCUGUAUUUGUUUCAACAUCAAGAGUGAUGUGAUCACUCAAAUUAUCACUCAUAAUUAUAAGGAGAUUGAUCUUUCAAAUUUAGUAGAAUUCAAGAAAAUUGUCAUUGUCAAUGUCAGUAUCUAUUUCGACAUCACUCUAUCGCUCGUACUUAUAUGGAGAUUGAUCUUUCAACUUUAGUAGGGAGAUUCCUCGCUCUCAAAAAAUCACAGUACUUUAUAUAUUAUAUAACGGGUUAAUCUUAUACAAAUCUCUGCAAAUAUAGUAAAUUAUAAAUAAAUUCCUACAAAGUUCAAUUUUUAUAUAUUGUCUCUAUAAAAAUUUUAAUGUUUUCAAAUAUAUCCCUGCCGUUGGAAUCUAUUAGAAAAUUUUAGUCAACCAUGGAUUAAAUGUUAAAAUCUGAUUAAUUUAUGAGAUAACUUGAUAUUUUUGUCUUUUUUAUAUUACACUGUUGUUGUUUUUGAAGGAAUAUAUUUGUGAUGGCAAAAUUGAUAUUUUAUUUAAAAUAUAAACAGUUCUAUAACGGUAACAAACUUGAAUGACAUAUUUGAAAUAUUAGAAUUUUUAUAGGGACAAUAUAUGAAAAUUAAACUUUGUGGUACCGUUUCGUUUAGGUAUAAGUAAGAACUAGAUAUUACAGGGAGAGGAUAAGAAAAAUAGUGUUUGGAUGAAAAUUGAGUUGUUUCCGGAGAUAAGAACAAUUUUAGAUAAUUUUAUAUAGAAAAUGAAGGUGUUGGUGGGGUUAACCGAGAGCUACUAUUCUCGGGUAAAAAAUUAGCGUUUGGAUAUAAAAGUCGGAUAAGAGCCUAUUCCUAUUCCUAUCCCUUAACCAAACGCUGCCUGUAGGUAUAUAUUUGCAAUUCACUAUAUUUACAGUGAGACGAAUGCAUGUAACCCUUAUAUAAAUUAGAUU
rnacentral:lncRNA from 1 species